UACGGGGGGGGCAAGCGUUGUUCGGAAUUACUGGGCGUAAAGGGCUCGUAGGCGGCCAACUAAGUCAGACGUGAAAUCCCUCGGCUCAACUUGGGAACUGCGUCUGAUACUGGAUGGCUUGAAUUCGGGAGAGGGAUGCAGAAUUCCAGGUGUAGCGGUGAAAUGCGUAGAUAUCUGGAGGAAUACCGGUGGCGAAGGCGGCAUCCUGGACCGACAUUGACGCUGAUGAGCGAAAAGCUAGGGGAGCAAACGGGG
rnacentral:rRNA from 1 species